UCGUCUCAUCCCCCACGAGCUCACUCACUCACGGGAUCACAGCGGGACUGCUCGCGACGCGGUCACGGAUAAUAACAGUUCUUAGUAAAUACAAAGGUGAUGUCCGCUCCGAGACCGCAACGCGACCACCGCCUCAAUUGCACAAAACGCUUCCACUCCAAGAGAAAGCGGCAGCCGCGCGGCGAUUCCAACGCUUGGCACGUCCCGUGUGAAAGGGCCUUAACCGUCACUCGUGCCACAGAUCUGAAGCAAGAGCAAAGGCAGCGAGGGGUGGUGUGAUGUCAUUGGCAACAAGACGGCUGCGAUACUGAUAGGAGCCUAAAAUGAAGGAAAAUCGCUGAUGUGAAUGAUGCUGGUUCGAGUCCCACCUCAGACAAGGUCAUCAAAGUCUACAAAGAAUGCCGAUUGUGAAUAAAAAUAAAUUUCUUGUCACCCAGAUUAAUUUUUGUGUGAUUUGAUAAUUAUAUUUUACCAGUGUUUGAAUUGUGUCAAAGCUCUUUGGCC